AUGUUUCUGAUUUCAGAGACAGUAAUUUCUCCAAGUCUUUGUCUGCUGUUAUUUUGUUGCCAUAAUACUAUCAUGCCUUGUUUUGCUAUAUUAAGUUCAUGUAGCAUGUUGAUUUCGUGCUCUGGACAUUGCUACCUGAUGUUGUUUCAGGCAUGUCCAGCAAUUUCACCAAGUCUGUGA
rnacentral:rRNA from 1 species